CCUACGGGAGGCAGCAGUGAGGAAUAUUGGUCAAUGGGCGAGAGCCUGAACCAGCCAAGUCGCGUGAGGGAGUACUGCCCUAUGGGUUGUAAACCUCUUUUGUCGGGGAGCAAAAGCCGGACGUGUCCGGCUGUGAGAGUACCCGAAGAAAAAGCAUCGGCUAACUCCGUGCCAGCAGCCGCGGUAAUACGGAGGAUGCGAGCGUUAUCCGGAUUUAUUGGGUGUAAAGGGUGCGCAGGCGGAUUUUUAAGUCAGCGGUAAAAUCGUGGGGCUCAACCCCAUCCAGCCGUUGAAACUGGGGAUCUAGAGUGUGCGAGAGGUAUGCGGAAUGCGUGGUGUAGCGGUGAAAUGCAUAGAUAGCACGCAGAACCCCGAUUGCUAAGGCAGCAUACCGGUGCACAACUGACGCUCAGGCACGAAAGCGUGGGUAUCGAACAGGAUUAGAUACCCUUGUAGUC
rnacentral:rRNA from 1 species